UCUCAGUUCGGGUCGGAGUCUGCAACCCGACUCCGUGAAGCUGGAUUCGCUAGUAAUCGCGCAUCAGCCAUGGCGCGGUGAAUACGUUCCCGGGCCUUGUACACACCGCCCGUCAAGCCAUGGGAGCCGGGGGUGCUUGAAGUGCGUCGCCGCAAGGCGCGCCCUAGAGCAAAACCGGUGACUGGGGCUAAGUCGUAACAAGGUACC
rnacentral:rRNA from 1 species